GCCGCCGUAGCUCAGUGGAUAGAGCGGCAGUUUCCUAAACUGCGCGUCGCGGGUUCGAUUCCCGCCGGUGGCA
rnacentral:tRNA from 1 species